rnacentral:rRNA from 1 species
GAUGAACGCUGGCGGCGUGCCUAACACAUGCAAGUCGAGCGAACAGACGAUGAGCUCGCUCUUCUGACGUUAGCGACGGACGGGUGAGUAACACGUGGAUAACCUACCAAUUAGACUUGGAUAACUUCGGGAAACCGGAGCUAAUACUGGAUAAUAUAUUGAACGGCAUGGUUCAAUAGUGAUUUACGGGUUUGCUGAUACCUCUAGCUGUAUGCGCGCUGGAUUGGCUAGUUGGUAAGGUAACGGCCUACCAAGGCAACGAUGCGUAGCCGACCUGAGAGGGGGAUCGGCCACACUGGAACUGAAACACGGUCCAGACUCCUACGGGAGGCAGCAGUAGGGAAUCUUGGACAAUGGGCGGAAGCCUGACGGAGCGACGCCGCGUGGGUGAAGAAGGUCUUCGGGUCGUAAAACUCUGUUAUUGGGGAAGAACAAAUGCGUAAGUAACUAUGCAUGUCUUGACGGUACCUAAACAAAAAGCAACGGCUAACUACGUG